rnacentral:rRNA from 1 species
AGAGUUUGAUCAUGGCUCAGGAUGUACGCUGGGGGCAUGCUUAACACAUGCAAGUUGAACGGGUUAUAAGUUGAAACUUUAAGUGAAUUCUUGUAAUCAGUAGCGGACGGGUGCGUAACGCGUAAGAACCUACCUUUAGGUGGAGAAUAACUACUGGAAACGGUGGCUAAUACUCCAUAUGCUGAGGAGUGAAAGAGAAAGACAACUUUCUUGCCUAGGGAUGGGCUUGCGUCUGAUUAGCCUGUUGGUAGGGUAACGGCUUCCCAAGGCGACGAUCAGUAGCUGGUCUGAGAGGACGAUCAGCCACACUGGGACUGAGACACGGCCCAGACUCCUACGGGAGGCAGCAGUGAGGAAUUUUCCGCAAUGGGCGAAAGCCUGACGGAGCAAUGCCGCGUGGAGGAAGACAGCCUAUGGGUCGUAAACUCCUUUUCUCAGAGAAGAAUUCUUGACGGUAUCUGAGGAAUCAGCAUCGGCUAACUCCGUGCCAGCAGCCGCGGUAAUACGGGGGAUGCAAGCGUUAUCCGGAAUGAUUGGGCGUAAAGGGUCUGUAGGUGGUCGGUAAAGUCUACCGUUCAAUACCAAGGCUUAACCUUGGGGCAGCGGUGGAAACUCAUCGGCUUGAGUACGGUAGG